rnacentral:piRNA from 1 species
UGGUAGCUUGAAAGAAAAACCAUAGGC